AGUCCCUUUUGCGGGCAGUCGAUCCGGCCGUCCAUUUCCUCGGUCUCCCGCAGCCGUUCAUUGGUAUACGACGACUCCGACGAGCGAUGUGUUAUAUGAUGCCGGAUUGCAGUUCCGUGACCGCGAAGAUUGCAGUUCGCGGAUCCGAAGAUUGCAGUUCCACGAUGCCGGAUUGCAGUUCGGUUCCGCGAUGCCGAAGAUUGAGUUCCGGCACCCAUCCGCGGAACCCAUCGUGAUUCCAUUUCCGGCACCCAUCCGCCUGUUCCGAUCAUGAAGGGUACCAAGCCGAUUCCGGGGAGGCACCCACUUGUUGGCACUCCCGUGCACAAAGGUGAAAGAUCGUCGGAUUUGACGACAAAAACCAGGAGCGUGAGUGCUAGUAGAGUUCAUCCGAGAGGCUCGUGAGAGAGGAACGAUGACGGUGUUGUUGUUAUUCAACCGACUGUUUUGAAUUUGGAAUCCGGCACCUGCACGCUGAUGAAGAGAGGGAGGAGAAUGCCAUUGGAUGGAGAGAGAAGGAAGUCAGGGAUGAUCAUGAAUAAUACGUUGCGAAGUUAAAGCUUCAGUUCAUCCCACUUUUUCCGAAGUAAAAGUGUUACGACCACUAGCAAUGGAAGAAGGGAGGUACCCAAAAGCUUGUUAUCCAAUACGCACUUCUUCUUCUGCACUCCAGACAAAAUCUGGGAUAUGGUUUAUGGAUUUUCUUGAUGUUGCAUUGGAAAAGGGAAUCAACACCGACUGCAUCCAUCGCGAUUGCAGUUCCAUCCGCGGAUUUCGCUUCGAAGAUUGUUGUUCCUACGGCUCCAAAGAUUCCAGUUCCGCCGAUUUUUGAUUGGAGAUAGACAGCCGCGUCGCGGUGCUGUGGUAUCACUGGCGUGGAGUGAGCCAGACGCGGAUGGCAGCGAAAGCCGAAAUAAAAGAGAAAGGGGAAAUAUUUGAAAUAUUAAUCUUGAAAAUUAUUUACUCCUCAUCGGAAUAUUUAAAUUAAAACCCAAAAUAAAUAAGUCAUCACUCCGCAUCACAGAACCCGCAUGAUACGGGGUGGCCGUCUGUGAUGCGGAGUGUAUAUAUAUAUAUAUAU
rnacentral:lncRNA from 1 species